CAAUUUUGGGAUUUUGCUUCCAUGGUAUGUAUUUUUCCAGAAAAAGCAAAAUGGUUAUUUUAUUACACUUCAUCUAUUUUCAUCUGAGA